GAUAAUGAUGGCGGCGAUUCGCUCACCUCGUCGCUGGCCAUCGAGGGCUUUGUGCAGGGCGCCUCCGAGGAUUAUACAGUUCAGUCUCAAACGGCAGCUUAUGAAGUCGAUGAUGAAGUAUAAGCGGCUAACCCUUUUCUAUCUACAUCUACUCCUCUAUCUCUCUCUCGUUUUUUCAUUUGCUGUCUCCUUUGGACCAAUUUACUUGAUUUUUAGAUUUGGCACCUCUUUUCCCGCUUUCACUUCAUGCGCACACAAACUCUUGUCGCUUUAAUUCUCAGCCAAAACAAAGUUUAUCCCUUGUUUUUCCACAGGAUGCGCGCUUGCAGCAGAUCAUCGAGUCGGGCGACAUGGAACAGCUGGCCGAGAUUGUACUGAACGGCGAGGGUGGCCGGCUGCUGGGCCUAAAGUCCAAGGAACCCGAAAUACAGGCAUUUCUCAACAAUGUGCCCAGCUAUAUGGAGAAAAUCCAUCGCGUGCAUGAUGCGGCACGUGACGGCAGUUUGUUGGCGCUGCAGCAGGCGCUGGAUCGCCGGAAGUUCGCCAUUGCUAAGGACGACAUAUCGCCAAAUGGCGCCACGCCACUGCACGUCGCCGUACUCUUUGGCCACAGCGAUAUUGUACGCUAUUUGGCUUCACGCUUUCCGGAGACGAUGGCAAUUACGGAUAAUGACGGACGCACGCCGCUGCACUAUGCGGCCACAAUUAAGGACAACGGCCACUUUUACAAUGUCCUGUCGCAGCUGGGCGCCAACCCAAAGGCACUCGACAAGCUGGGCCACACGCCCGAAUUUUAUGUGGACAUGGAGAAAUCGAAAGAUGUGCUCACCUACACCGAACUGCUGACCAUAUUCGGGGCCGAGGAGCUAGAGAACCAGUUGCUCAGCGAUCAAGUGCCCGAUGAUCUGCACAGCGCACGCCGCGAGCUCCAGGAUGGAGAAAUCGCUCGUACUCUGGAGCGUUGCUUCAGCGUCAUCACGGAGUCUGGAAAGUUGCUAAGCGGGACAACAGCCUCGGCGUUGGCGCAUCGAAAGCCCUUGAGUGCCUCCGCGUUGCAGCUAUCCGUGACGAGCUAUCUGAGCCGCUUUCUCAAACGCAUGGUCUACGAGAAGAUUAAGCGCCGGCAGACGCGGCUCGAUCAUAAUCUCUUCGAUGUGCUCUGGCCGGCCAUGCGUAAGACCUCGAAGCUGCGGCACCUGGAGGAGGAUAUCAAUUGUGGCAUCAUAGCGCCCGACUUUGAUGUGUUUGUGGUGUUCCAGGAGUUCCUGGUGCCGCUGCUCAAGGACAUGCACUGCCUUAGCAUCGAUGCGGACUUCAAGCCGCAGCCGCGACUCGCCUACUUUCCCAUGGACAAUGGCGAGCGCCUCAAUACGGCUGCCUUUGUGUUCGACGAUGAAUCACAGCUGGUCACGCGCUGCAUUGUGGAGGCGUCGCGCAAUCUGGAUCAACUGGAGUUGCCGCUCAAUCUGACCAUAGGCCAGAUCGAGCAGGCCGAACGCCUAAUGAUGGGCAAAAUGUUUACGGCCAACUUUGCCGAGGCCAUUGGCGAGACGGAAUCGGGCAGCUACUAUACGCUGACGGAGCUUAUGGAGCCAGACUCGGAGGUGGCAAAGCAGCUCAGCAAUUUGGGUCUGAUGAUACCACUGUUAGAUACCAAAGAUCUGGUUCAGGCGGCCGAGUCAACAGCCUUUAACGGCGCACUAUGGCCCUAUGGCCGUGGCGUCUACGUCAACUCCGCACUCAACAUGGCCUUGUGGCUCAAUUGCCAGGAGCAUCUGCGUGUCAUAUCGGCUAGUAGUAGCAAGGAGCCGGCAGACAUGGGCGCUGCCUACACGCGCGUUGGUCGCGCCGUCUCUUACUUGGAAACACAGCUGCACUUCAAGGAGAGUUAUCUGCUCGGCUAUUUGCAAUCCCGGCCAGCUUACCUAGGCACGGGUCUCAAAAUGACCACAAUUGUCAAGCUGCCCAAUCUGAUGAAGGAGCUGGACAAUUUGCGGCAUCUGUGCUCCGUGCGUGGCCUCAGCAUGGUCACCAAUCGUCUGUCCAAGCUGACCGUGCGGCUGAUCAAUAUGCAAAGCAUGGGCGUUGUGGAGUAUGUGCUGUUCCAGGACUAUUGUACGGCUGUCACAAAUAUAAUGUCGCUGGAGAAGGAUAUGUCGCUGACAAACUCCAAGCAUAUAGCCACCAUGCUGGUCAAGAUCUUUAAGCGCAAAAAGAACAGCAUUAUAGAUCGCAACUGAUCGCAGCCAAAAAAAGCAAGAAUCAAAAGAUACAAGAUACAAGCUACAAGAUAGAAAAUGAAAGCACAACUCAUACAUUUCAAGGCAAUUGUAUUGUAAAUACAACAAGAGCAACAGCAACAACAAAAAGAGCACUAAUAACUAUUAAAUUGUAAUAUAUAUACAUAAAUACAGCUGCAUUCGAUCGAUCGAUAAAAUUAGAGUUUAUUUAGUUGCAAAGCAGCAGCAUAACAAAUCAAAGAAAAAAACAAAAAACAAAAUCAAACGCCAACCACAUCCUCAGCUUCGGCCUCAUGAGAUACACGUCAGUCGCAGCCAGUUAGUUUUCAGGGCAAUCCCAUCUUUAAAACGGAACAGGGCAAAUAUCUGGCGGAUU